AAGAACUUUAGUAGUACAUGAGACUUCUUAGGAUCAACAAUUUCUCACUGACUCAUAAAUGAACCUUAUGAAACUCUUUCUUUACUUAUGGAUGAAUAAGCAAGUGGAUUACAUAUUCCAAAAGUUUAGGGGUAAAUUGUUCAAAAUCCUAAACUUUGAAGGGGCAAUAUGUACAUCAUCCUCUUGAUCAAAUACGGCACUGAAAAUGAUUUCUAUUCCAAGCUCUACUCUAUCUCCUCUUUAUGAAAAAACCAACUUCUUUUGCAAAUUCACUUUCCCCCUCAAACUUCACUAUAAAUCCUAAUUCACCCCCCAAGUUUCACUUCAAGAACAACCCCAAAUAAAAACCGUUUCUUCUACAAAAAGCAAGCUUUGGGUCAACCCCAAAAGCCCAAGAGCUUCAGAACUGAAACGAAAAUCUUAUGAUUUCAGGUAUGCUUCUUUAGUGAAAGUAGUUGAGAAUUUACAAUCUAUGGAUGUCCGGAAAGCUAACUGCAACUGUUUGAUUGACACCUGCGUCAACCUUAAUAAGGUGGAGAGAGCUUGUGAAUUAUUAGAUAUUGGGCUAACUCUCAACAUCUAUACUGAUAUAUAUUAUGUCUCGGACUGCAACUCAAUUGUCUUUACAUUUGAAGAGCCCCUCGCUUGGGGCAGCUUUGACAGUAUUGCACAUUUGGAUGAGUGACUUGAACAAAGCAUUUGAAACUUGGGUGAUUAUCCAGAGAAUUAACUCUAUUAAAAACUAAGAAGGAGAGACAUUAAAAAAGUACCCAAAAAAAAAUAAAAAAUUGAAACAAGACUCAAACAAUUGUAAUUUAAAUAAUGUAUAUUUGCUUGGUAACGAGGGGAAGAGGAGAUGUGACUAUCAAAGCCAGUACAUGCAAUUGCAAAUGGAGAGUAUAUAUUCAACAACCUUAAUUAGGCCCCCCACAGUUUAAUGGCUGCCAAUUUAGAUUAUAUCAUUAAUUUCAACUUCCAGUUUAGACGCGCUCCUACUUUAUUCCUUCCAUUUUGCAAAUUUUUUUCUUCAUCUUUCUUUCAUACGAGUAUUAAUUAAAAAUAUUCUCUUUUCUUCCUCUAUUCUCCCCACAUAGAAUUCAUUUUUUGUAAGAGUAUCAACCAUGAGUGGUGACAAGACUGAGAAGCUGCUACAAGAAGGUUAAAAAAAUUCUCUGUAAAUUCCCUCGUAAGUCUCUAUUUCAUGAAGGAAAGUACAAGAUCAAGAAUUCUAUUAUUAUGGAGAAGAAUUAAUUUGAUUUUUUUCGUUUUUUGUGAUGUAAAAUUUUUUUGGGCAACAGAAAUUAGAGACCAAGUAUAUGAUGAGAAGGCCAAUACAGUCACUAUCACUGUGGUAUGUUGUAAUCCUGAGAAAAUCCGUGACAAAUUAUCUAGUAAAGGAUGUGGAGUGAUUAAGAGCAUUGAAAUCAAAAACCCUCCAAAGCCCAAAGAAGAUCCUAAACCUCAAUCGGUUGAUCUACCACCACCACCGCCAACAUCAGAGCCCGUAAUGGUAGUGCUAAUGCCAAUUCAAGAGUACCCACCACCGCCGCCAGGAUACUGUUGUGGACAAUGCUAUGAAGGCUAUACGGGAGGCCCACGUUAGCAUUUGUACGGAAGAUCUCCCUCCGCCCCCGUGUUACGAUAACUAUGGAUAUAGCUGUGGGCCUGGGCCUAAGCCGUACGACUACGGAAGGGGCUGUCGUGUGAGCAGCUGUGAUGAGUACUUCAAUGAAGAAAAUGCCACGGGAUGCUCAAUCAUGUCAAAUGGCAGCUUCAUUAUUAUUGGGCUCCUCUUAAUGUAGUUUGUCUUUUUCUUCGGAUGAAAAUCAAUGUAUAGUAGCUUUUUUUUUUUUUUCUUCUUUGCUUUUUCUUCAUAGAUUUUUUUUUAAAAAUAUUGAAUUAAGUUAGAAAAUAAUUCAUAGUGGUAGUCUAAUAUGCUAAGCAAACUAUUCCAAGAAAUAAUUGUCCCAAGUUUAAAUAAUGUCCAAUAAUUUUAAAUUUAAGUAUCAAGUCUGCUAAAAAGGGGCCAUUCUUCAUUAUUUGAGCUUGCACUAAUUUCUUUUUUCUCUAGAUGUAUACAAUCUCACACGCAUGUUUAACAACAAUAUAUAUGCGAUUUUAAAAUAUUUCUACAAAAUUGACAUCAAAUGCACAUAAAACGAACAGGAUGCACAUGCGGCGCAUGCCCCUACGCCGCACGUAGAAGCUAAUUUUAUUAAAUAUGCUUGAGACCUCUUAUUAGAAUUUGAAUUUAGGCCACUAAUUCUAUUGAACUGCUCCUAAAAAUAUGAGUAUAUAAAUAUAAGGAUGAAUUUAGGGGCAGAUUGGUUGCGGGUUUAUAUGAAUUCAUUAUUUUUUUUCCAGAUGCUUUAUAUCUAUAAAUAUGUACAAUUAUAUUUCUAUCAUCCAUAUCAUUGAUGUAACAGUUUUGUCGAUCACUUUCAAGUUUCACGUCCUUCUCUCUUUUCUUCACUUAAUUAAAUUCGCUUCUACUGUCACGUUGACGUACCGACUGGGGCAAUGAAGGUCAACCCAAAAAAAAAAGGGAAGCAAGGAGUUAAUUUGUCUUGUUAUCAUGCAUGUUACAUUGUUAUUAAUUAAGUUGUCGAUAAUACUUCUUUUUACUUCUUUUUUCUCCCUUUUUUUUUUUUUUUUGAGAAGAGAGCAUAAUUUUGAUCUUUUAUUGUAAUAUCAAGCCUAUUCUUCAAUUUUGAUCUCAUGGUUGUAGUUGAUCUUUACAUAGCAACAAUUAAUAGAUUGGAUCAUAAUCAUAAUUUCUAAGUACUAAAAGAUUAGGAAAGUUCAAGAAUUCGAUAACAGCUGGAAGUGGAAAGUUUUUGGAAGAGACUCCUUGUUGUCUUGUGAUAGAAAAUGACACAACAGUUUUAACGCUUUAGUUUUUUGUUUCAACUCCUAGACAUCACAGUAAUGUAUAUAUUGGAUUUACUGAUAGAUUGCUACUCCCUCCGGAU